rnacentral:tRNA from 1 species
UGAAAUUACAGAAACAAAAAUUGCCGGA